GACAGAGGUGCCAAGCGUUAGGCGGAAUCACUGGGCUUAAAGCGUGUGUAGGUGGAAGCGUAAGUACCUUGUGAAAUCCCACGGCUUAACCGUGGAUCUGCUUGGUAUACUGCGUUUCUUGAGCCAACUAGGGGCUAUCGGAACAAGUGGUGGAGCGGUGAAAUGCGCAGAUAUCAGGAAGAACACCCGUGGCUAAGGCGGUUCUCUAGUACGGUACUGACGCUGAGACGCGAAAGCGUGGGGAGCGAACAGG
rnacentral:rRNA from 1 species